rnacentral:rRNA from 2 species
UAAGACUGGGAUAACUCCGGGAAACCGGGGCUAAUACCGGAUAACUUCUUUUCUCGCAUGGGGAGAGGUUGAAAGACGGUUUUGCUGUCACUUACAGAUGGGCCCGCGGCGCAUUAGCUAGUUGGUGGGGUAACGGCCUACCAAGGCGACGAUGCGUAGCCGACCUGAGAGGGUGAUCGGCCACACUGGGACUGAGACACGGCCCAGACUCCUACGGGAGGCAGCAGUAGGGAAUCUUCCGCAAUGGACGAAAGUCUGACGGAGCAACGCCGCGUGAGUGAUGAAGGCCUUCGGGUCGUAAAACUCUGUUAUCAGGGAAGAAUAAGCAUUGGUUAACUGCCAGUGCCUUGACGGUACCUGACCAGAAAGCCACGGCUAACUACGUGCCAGCAGCCGCGGUAAUACGUAGGUGGCAAGCGUUGUCCGGAAUUAUUGGGCGUAAAGCGCGCGCAGGCGGCUUCUUAAGUCUGAUGUGAAAGCCCACGGCUCAACCGUGGAGGGUCAUUGGAAACUGGGAGGCUUGAGUGCAGAAGAGAAGAGCGGAAUUCCACGUGUAGCGGUGAAAUGCGUAGAGAUGUGGAGGAACACCAGUGGCGAAGGCGGCUCUUUGGUCUGUAACUGACGCUGAGGCGCGAAAGCGUGGGGAGAGAAC